GAAUAGAGCUGUCUAUUUAUUCAUUCUACUUCAUAACAAUAUAUUACAUUUGGAUAAGGUUUUCCUCAUUCACUACAAAAUCAUUUUCUUAUCAGACUCCACUUUUUCUCAAUAAAUUCACCAUUUGUGAAAUCAGCUGAAAAGCAAAGAAUCAGUAUUUAUAAAGGAAAAAAUGUGUUUGGUACCUGGAAAAUUGAUCUUGGAGGAUCUGCAAAGGAGGCUAUUCCCUUGCCUUGACAGUCAAAGACUGGUCAUUGAUUUUGGAAGCCAAGUUCCAGGAUCGAAGGUAAUUAUCUCCAUCACAGAAUGCUAAACAAUAUCGAAGGUCAGAGCAUAUACCUACAGAUACAUGAAUUAUGAUAAUUAGAAAAGAUCAUUUUGGCCAUUGUUCAAUAAAUCUCAACAUUCAUUAA